UGGGGAAUCUUGGACAAUGGGCGCAAGCCUGAUCCAGCCAUGCCGCGUGGAUGAUGAAGGCCUUAGGGUUGUAAAAUCCUUUCGCCGAGGACGAUAAUGACGGUACUCGGAGAAGAAGCUCCGGCUAACUUCGUGCCAGCAGCCGCGGUAAUACGAAGGGGGCUAGCGUUGUUCGGAUUUACUGGGCGUAAAGCGCAUGUAGGCGGGCCGUUAAGUUAGGGGUGAAAUCCCGAGGCUCAACCUCGGAACUGCCUCUAAAACUGGCGGCCUGGACCUAAGUAGAGGCAAGUGGAAUUGCGAGUGUAGAGGUGAAAUUCGUAGAUAUUCGCAGGAACACCAGUGGCGAAGGCGACUUGCUGGACUUAUGGUGACGCUGAGAUGCGAAAGCGUGGAGAGCAAACAGGAUUAGAUACCCACGUAGUCCCUGAGCGGGCUGGCAAGGCGCAU
rnacentral:rRNA from 1 species